UCGGGAAUUUUGGGCAAUGGGGGAAACCCUGACCCAGCAACGCCGCGUGAAGGAUGAAGUAUUUCGGUAUGUAAACUUCGAAAGAAUAGGAAGAAUUAAUGACGGUACUAUUUAUAAGGUCCGGCUAACUACGUGCCAGCAGCCGCGGUAAUACGUAGGGACCAAGCGUUGUUCGGAUUUACUGGGCGUAAAGGGCGCGUAGGCGGCAUGGUAAGUCACUUGUGAAAUCUCCGAGCUUAACUCGGAACGGCCAAGUGAUACUGCUGAGCUAGAGUGCAGAAGGGGCAAUCGGAAUUCUUGGUGUAGCGGUGAAAUGCGUAGAUAUCAAGAGGAACACCUGAGGUGAAAGCGGGUUGCUGGGCUGACACUGACGCUGAGGCGCGAAAGCUAGGGGGAGCAAAC
rnacentral:rRNA from 1 species